GGGCUGGCCCUGGGUAGGAUAUCUGCUUUGCACGCAGAAGGUCCCACGUUCAAUCCCUGGCAUCUCCA